rnacentral:rRNA from 1 species
UACGUAGGGUGCGAGCGUUGUCCGGAAUUACUGGGCGUAAAGAGCUCGUAGGUGGUUUGUCGCGUUGUCCGUGAAAACUCACAGCUUAACUGUGGGCGUGCGGGCGAUACGGGCAGACUGGAGUACUGCAGGGGAGACUGGAAUUCCUGGUGUAGCGGUGGAAUGCGCAGAUAUCAGGAGGAACACCGGUGGCGAAGGCGGGUCUCUGGGCAGUAACUGACGCUGAGGAGCGAAAGCGUGGGGAGCGAACAGG